rnacentral:lncRNA from 1 species
AAAAAUACUAAGUGUCCUAGUUUUGACAUCAUUCAAAACAUUUCUAAAAUGAGAGUGCACUCACACAUCUCACAACAUUCCAUCUCUAAUAUUGCCUUCAUUUAUUAAUCCUUCUUCAUCACAACAAAACACUCCCUAUCUAGCCUUCACAUAUCUUCAUCUUCAAACUACCCAACCGAACCAACACCUUUUGUUAUUCCUCAUUCGAAACAGUCUCAACCUAUACCCC